GACGAACGCUGGCGGCGUGCUUAACACAUGCAAGUCGAACGGUAAGGCUCCAGCUUGCUGGGGUACACGAGUGGCGAACGGGUGAGUAACACGUGGGUGACCUGCCCUGCACUUCGGGAUAAGCCUGGGAAACUGGGUCUAAUACCGGAUAGGACCGCACCGUGAGGGUGUGGUGGAAAGUUUUUUCGGCGUGGGAUGGGCCCGCGGCCUAUCAGCUUGUUGGUGGGGUAAUGGCCUACCAAGGCGGCGACGGGUAGCCGGCCUGAGAGGGUGGACGGCCACAUUGGGACUGAGACACGGCCCAGACUCCUACGGGAGGCAGCAGUGGGGAAUAUUGCACAAUGGGCGGAGGCCUGAUGCAGCGACGCCGCGUGGGGGAUGACGGCCUUCGGGUUGCAAACUCCUUUCACCAUCGACGAAGGGUUUCUGACGGUAGAUGGAGAAGAAGCACCGGCUAACUACGUGCCAGCAGCCGCGGUAAUACGUAGGGUGCGAGCGUUGUCCGGAAUUACUGGGCGUAAAGAGCUCGUANGUGGUUUGUCGCGUCGUCUGUGAAAUUCCGGGGCUUAACUCCGGGCGUGCAGGCGAUACGGGCAUAACUUGAGUACUGUAGGGGAGACUGGAAUUCCUGGUGUAGCGGUGAAAUGCGCAGAUAUCAGGAGGAACACCGGUGGCGAAGACGGGUCUCUGGGCAGUAACUGACGCUGAGGAGCGAAAGCAUGGGGAGCGAACAGGAUUAGAUACCCUGGUAGUCCAUGCCGUAAACGGUGGGCGCUAGGUGUGGGUUUCCUUCCACGGGAUCCGUGCCGUAGCUAACGCAUUAAGCGCCCCGCCUGGGGAGUACGGCCGCAAGGCUAAAACUCAAAGGAAUUGACGGGGGCCCGCACAAGCGGCGGAGCAUGUGGAUUAAUUCGAUGCAACGCGAAGAACCUUACCUGGGCUUGACAUAUACAGGAUCGCGCCAGAGAUGGUGUUUCCCUUGUGGCUUGUAUACAGGUGGUGCAUGGUUGUCGUCAGCUCGUGUCAUGAGAUGUUGGGUUAAGUCCCGCAACGAGCGCAACCCUUGUCUUAUGUUGCCAGCACGUUGUGGUGGGGACUCGUAAGAAACUGCCGGGGUUAACUCGGAGGAAGGUGGGGAUGACGUCAAAUCAUCAUGCCCCUUAUGUCCAGGGCUUCACACAUGCUACAAUGGUCGGUACAGUGGGUUGCCAGUCCGUGAGGGCGAGCUAAUCCCGCAAAGCCGGUCUCAGUUCGGAUCGGGGUCUGCAACUCGACCCCGUGAAGUCGGAGUCGCUAGUAAUCGCAGAUCAGCAACGCUGCGGUGAAUACGUUCCCGGGCCU
rnacentral:rRNA from 1 species